UAAUAGUAUUUAAUUAAUCUCUACUGUAGCAGUGCUCGAGGUAGACAUGACGACAAUAUUGGCGCUUAGUAUUGUGUUUCUGUUAGGGCUAGCGGUAGCGAGCCCACGUGGGCCGUGCGGCUGCAAACCGGUCUUCGAAUAUUGCGCCAACGACUACACCACGUACCACAACAUCUGCGAGUACAAGUGCAAACAUCCCUCCACCCCGUUCCAUGACUGGAAUAUUCUGUACAACUGGCCUUGCUUUUCCACGUCGGAGACUACAACUCGUGCGAGUACUACGACU